UAGGGAUGACUUUUCUUCUGAUAGAAGCAGUCCUUGCUCCCUUCAUAAACCUUGAUAAAAGUCCGCAUCCACGAGAUUUAUUAGUUCUCAGAUGGUAUCACAUGGCCCUGCUUGUCCUUACACUCUCCUUUUUCUACAGAGAGUUAAGUGAGAUGGCCCUGCUUCGUAGCUGGAGAAUUUUUCAUCUUGGUUUCUGGCAGGGGGGUUGCGCCCCCCCCUCAACACAUUC